UUUUUUAAAGACAUGUGCUAUUUAAUAUUAAAUCACUUUAAUUUAUUGUUAUUUUUAAAUCUUCAUUUAAUAUAAUACAAUCAACAACGUUAAAAGUAAAUGUUAACAAAAAUUAAUAUGCUAGUUAUUAUAUAUUUUAACAAUUACAAAUUUUGAGGUUAGAUGAAUAUAAUCAAACAUUAAUAUAUGCUUAGAGAAAUCAAAACUAAAACUUAGUUAAUUAAGAAUAAAGUAUUCUUACAACAACUUUAAUAAUUUAAAUUAAUUUUUCUUAUUUUAUAAUAAUAUAUACUAUAAAUUACAAGCCUUUUU
rnacentral:lncRNA from 1 species